rnacentral:lncRNA from 1 species
ACAUACUGUCCUUGCUUGGAGUCACACAGCCAUGCAGCUAAGAUACUCAAGACGGCAGAGAAGCCGCACAGAGAAGCAGGAGGCCCAGGUGAGAAGCCAGGUUCAACAGGUGGUCGCUGUGUGACUCUGGCUGACCUCAGAGCCCCUCACUUUCCUCCUCUGUGAGGUAAGAAACCAGAGCCCUCAGGGCUCCUCCCAGCUGCAGCAGCCGGUGAGUCCAUUCCAACAGUUUUCCCAUGCAGCCAGCCUUCUCGUGAGCAACUGCCAUCGCAGCCCUCUGUCCUAGCUCACAUGGGUGGAUGCUGUGUUCAGGGGAUAAUGAGGGAUCAUCAUGGCUGCCUUUUUUUAGUUCUCAAGCUCAACUGAAAACCGCCACCGUAGUGCUGUUAAGACACAUGACAGGUGGCUCCAUUCAGUGCCCAGGACAGACACAAGACCGGCUCCGUCCCUGCUCAGACAGCUGUAGGGGACAGCGAGUCCCUUCCUUCCUUGGCUGGAGGAGACUUCACCCAGGCCCUGCCUCUCGUGCAUCUCAGGUCUGCUUUUAUGAUCCCAGACAGCUCCGUUAGCGAUCUCCUCCUGGCUCUGGCCACAGGGACAUAAUCUUCAGCUCUGCCACUAAUUAAAACACCACCAAGGCAAAGUCACCUAACACCUCAAGCCCAAUCCUCCUUGAGUGGAAAAUCAAGAUGACAGAACUUCAUAGGGCCUUUAACAAUAUCAAGGUCCCAGCUCUGAGGACAGUGACAAUGAGGAACACCAGUCGCUGCUUUUUGUCAAGAUUGAAAAAGCUUCCCUUGUGCUGGCAGCCAAUGCAGAGAUUCACCAGGAGUGAGACAGAAAGAGAGAUACAGAGGCCCAGGACCUCCAGCCAUCCCCACAGCCCAGAUCCACCCUGGGCUUUCCAAGCGCUUGAGCCAAUAAAUCUCCUCUGCUCUUUAUUCCUCCUAAACUAAGUUUCUUUCACCGACAGCCAAGCAUUUACUAACAUGCUCAAGAAAUACCUGUUGGGGCCAGUCACAGCUUCCCAAACCCUGGCAUGUCUUCAAGAUCCCAGGUCUAAAAGGCCCUGGUUCUAAAUCAACGAUCGGGACCCCACAAGUUCCUGAUAGGUUUAAUACACUCUCAC